GCCUUCGGGAACGUCUGACACAGGUGCUGCAUGGCUGUCGUCCAGCUCGUGUCGUGAGAUGUUGGGUUAAGUCCGUAACGAGCGCAACCCUUGUCCUUAGUUACCAGCACGUUAUGGUGGGCACUCUAAGGAGACUGCCGGUGACAAACCGGAGGAAGGUGGGGAUGACGUCAAGUCAUCAUGGCCCUUACGGCCUGGGCUACACACGUGCUACAAUGGUCGGUACAAAGGGUUGCCAAGCCGCGAGGUGGAGCUAAUCCCAUAAAACCGAUCGUAGUCCGGAUCGCAGUCUGCAACUCGACUGCGUGAAGUCGGAAUCGCUAGUAAUCGUGAAUCAGAAUGUCACGGUGAAUACGUUCCCGGGCCUU
rnacentral:rRNA from 1 species